AACCUCAAACAUUCAGAAGUUUAUCAGAUAUUAAAAAAUAUAUGUCAAAUAAAUAUCAAAUAUUUUUUGAGUCCUGUAUGUCUUACAAGGCCAUCCUGUUUAACACUGCACUGAGGACACUACAACCAGAGAGAUGCUGUCAUGAAACGCCAUGAAAAGGCAACUGCUGGACACCUGGGACAGGCCAUCAAUUCCAAGUUGGCGUCAAUUCCCUGUUAGAGUUUAGAGUUGUCUAAUAGAGAGGGUGAAGGAAGAACAUCCAAACCCUGCCCCUGCUUCCUUCAAGAUUUUUUAUGGAUUUAUAUAAUGGUGUUUUUUCAUAAAGUAAAGGCAGUGGCAAAAUUAACAUGACACUACUUUGAUGUUUUGUUCUACAAAUUAAACCACACACACACUCCAAAAACACCAAUUUUGAUACAAUUUGCAUUUGCAAGAAAAAAAAUCAAAGUAGUGUCAUGUUAAUUUUGCCACUGCCUUUACUUUACGAAAAAACAUCAUUUAUAAAUCCAUAAAAUCUUGAAGAAAUCAGGGGCAGGGUUUGGAUGUUCUUCUUUCACCCUCUCUAUUAGACAACUCUAAUUUUUUUUUUGUUUUUUUUUUUAACACAGACUUUAAUUAAUUAAAAAAAAAAAAACUUCUCUUCAAGAAUUACUUUUCAGGUUUUAGCAUCAUCCUUUAGUAUUCAUAAUAGCAAUUUCAGUAAAGUUGCUGAUUUGAUUUAUGUUUUAAUUGUGCAGUUUAUGUGCACUCUGUUCUUUUGUCAAUGUCAAUAAAAUUCUUAUUUUUCUAUAGUAGGUGUUAUGUCAUCUGAAUAUACUGCUCAUUUUUGCAAGUGAAUUUAUACUGUCACAGUUUUUAAGUUGCAUUGUCUGGGGAUUUGUAAAUUUUUCAGUCUCCAAUUUCUGUUCAGUAUUUGAAUGUUUAAAUUCAUAUAUAUAUAUAUUUACAUGUACUGAAAUGUAAUAUGUUAACAAAUAUUAGAA
ensembl:lncRNA